rnacentral:rRNA from 1 species
GAUGAACGCUAGCGGCAGGCCUAAUACAUGCAAGUCGAACGGUGUCUUCGGACAUAGUGGCGCACGGGUGCGUAACACGUAUGCAACCUACCUUACAUUGGGGGAUAGCCUUUCGAAAGGGAGAUUAAUACCGCAUAAGACAGUAGCUGGGCAUCCAACAGCUGUUAAAGAUUUAUCGAUGUAAGCUGGGCAUGCGUCCAAUUAGCUAGUUGGUGAGGUAACGGCUCACCAAGGCAAUGAUUGGUAGGGGAACUGAGAGGUCAAUCCCCCACACUGGCACUGAGAUACGGGCCAGACUCCUACGGGAGGCAGCAGUAAGGAAUAUUGGUCAAUGGAGGCAACUCUGAACCAGCCAUGCCGCGUGCAGGAAGACUGCCCUAUGGGUUGUAAACUGCUUUUAUCCGGGAAUAAACCUGAUUACGUGUAAUCAGCUGAAUGUACAGGAAGAAUAAGGAUCGGCUAACUCCGUGCCAGCCGCCGCUGUAACAC